UCUCCUGCCUGCCAGAAAAAGAAGCUUUGUAAGCAUCUAACACACACCUGGCUAU
rnacentral:tRNA from 1 species